CUUUCAAAACAUGUCUAUGGUUUCAUCUUUGGAUAUGUAGGAACCUGAGGUAAUGUGGUUUGGGAGAAAUUUGGGGGUAGCUUGCUCCCUGAUGGCCCAAGAUCAACGAGCCCACACUG
ensembl:snoRNA